AAGAAAUGUGGCAUGCCCGUUGUGAUUACUCUGAUGAUUGAUGUAUUAUUAUUAUUAUUUUAAUUGAUUUUGGGAAACGGGGUGUUACAAUUAU
rnacentral:pre_miRNA from 1 species